AGAAUUUUUCUAAAAAAAAGCUGCGGCUGAAAACAAAAGAACCCCACCCCCGUUCUCUAUCUUCUUCAGAAGAAGAACCAGCCAUCUCCACCUAUCUUCUUCAACCUUCCAUCGACCCCUCCUCUCCAAAAACACAGCAGAACCACUAGCCCGCAAGUGACAGCGUUACAAAAUAGAGCUCCGUCCCUCCCUGUCCUCUUCGUCCAAAUAUUAGAGCAGAUUUGAGCAUUUUAUAAGCAGCUUCAGAUUUCGAAACGUUGUCUUUUGACCCCAAAUCAGUCCCAAAGAAAUUCAAAAACCAGUCGGAGUUUAGUUUCUGUCACUCUGAUUUAGUUCGAUAAUUCCGGCGAGCAUCAAGGUUGUCCGUGGUCGUUGUUCAUGGGUUCCGUUUCAGCUCCGUCCAUGGUUUGUCGUGUCGGAGUUUAAAGUCUCCUCAUAAGUAAUGAGCUGAUCCAUUUUUGAGUGACUGUGGUGUAUACGUUGCUGCAUUUUGCUGAAUAUAUCAGCAUUGGAGAGCUAUCGAUUUCAAAUGAAGACCUUUCUGAUAUUGAUCAACAUCGUAGACGCUAUGGAGCUCUACUUUGGGAUUAUGCUAGGAAAAAGCGAGACAUUGGUGCAAUUAGUGAGAGUGAGGUUACUGGCAGAUUAGCAAGACGAAUAGGUACACCAGCUGCAAAUGAGAGAACAUAACUCCUGAAGAAGAAGAAGAAAAAUUAGUUUCCCUAUUCUGUAGUAAAAUUGUAGUUAAAAUGUGUAGGUGUAGUGGGUUUGUAGUAAAGUUGUAGACAAUAUGUUACCUUAGAACAAGUAAUUAAAACAUAUUUGUGCUACAAUUGUUUUACCUUUAGUUUUGUUAUUUUUGUCCAUGAAAUUAUUACUUCAAAUCAAAAACACUAUGGAGAUCCUUUUUCGGUUCAAAAUUGUUAGUAUUUUAUUCUAUUA